GGGGAACCUAUCCAUCAGCGGGGGAUAACACUUGGAAACAGGUGCUAAUACCGCAUAGGGCUUUUUUUCACCUGAAAGAAAGCUGAAAGGCGCUUUUUUGCGUCACUGAUGGCUGGUCCCGCGGUGCAUUAGCCAGUUGGUGAGGUAACGGCUCACCAAAGCAACGAUGCAUAGCCGACCUGAGAGGGUGAUCGGCCACACUGGGACUGAGACACGGCCCAGACUCCUACGGGAGGCAGCAGUAGGGAAUCUUCGGCAAUGGACGCAAGUCUGACCGUGCAACGCCGCGUGAGUGAAGAAGGUUUUCGGAUCGUAAAGCUCUGUUGUCAGCAAAGAACAGGAAGAAGAGGGAAUGCUUUUUCUCUGACGGUAGCUGACCAGAAAGCCACGGCUAACUACGUGC
rnacentral:rRNA from 1 species